rnacentral:lncRNA from 1 species
AAAAAGUACCUUAACAAAAAUGCAUGCUUCUUUAGAAGGCUGAUUGUGAGCUUAUUUAUAGGAAAAAAUAGCAAAAUCCUAUAUUUAAAAAAGAAAUGUAUUUAAACAAUAUAAUAUGAAUUUGUUCUCUUUUAUGGUAAGGGUCAUUCCAUUAGAAAUGGAUAUGAGAGUGUAGUAAGGGAAUUUCAAAAUCUUCUACAACCAAUAUACAUUGAGUAAUUUUGUAUUCAUCAAAAAGACAUACAACUUGAAUGACCCAAAACCCAUGUCCAAAAAUAAAACCCCUUGCUACCCUCCCAAAUUUGUUUUAAUGGUUUAGCCCUAAAUUUUAAGUAUAAGGGUAUUCAUUCCAUAUUGAUAUUGAUUAGUUAUCAUAAUUAAGGUUAUGUUGACUAAUCAUCAUCAGCAA